AAUGUACUCCCUCAAUCUCAAAAUUCUUGUCUUAGAUUUGUCUAAAUACGGAUGUAUCAAGUCACGUUUUAGUACUAGGUACAUCCGUAUCUAGACAAUUCUAAGACAAGAAUUUUAGGAUGGAGGGAGUAUAAU
rfam:Triticum aestivum genome assembly, contig: Triticum_aestivum_CS42_TGACv1_scaffold_375655_5AL